rnacentral:rRNA from 1 species
CUCAGACAGCCAGGAUGUUGGCUUAGAAGCAGCCAUCAUUUAAAGAAAGCGUAAUAGCUCACUGGUCGAGUCGGCCUGCGCGGAAGAUGUAACGGGGCUAAACUAUGCACCGAAGCUGCGGCAGCGAUAUGUAAAUAUUGUUGGGUAGGGGAGCGUUCUGUAAGCCUGUGAAGGUGUACUGCGAGGUAUGCUGGAGGUAUCAGAAGUGCGAAUGCUGACAUAAGUAACGAUAAUGCGGGUGAAAAACCCGCACGCCGGAAGACCAAGGGUUCCUGUCCAACGUUAAUCGGGGCAGGGUGAGUCGACCCCUAAGGCGAGGCAGAAAUGCGUAGUCGAUGGGAAACGGGUUAAUAUUCCCGUACUGGUGAUAAUUGCGAUGGGGGGACGGAGAAGGCUAGGCUAUCCGGGCGACGGUUGUCCCGGUUUAAGGAUGUAGGCAGGUGAAUUAGGCAAAUCCGGUUCACUACAUGCUGAGGUCCGAUGACGAGUCACUACGGUGAUGAAGUAGCUCAUGCCCCGCUUCCAGGAAAAGCCUCUAAGCUCUAGAUUAUCAUUAAUCGUACCCCAAACCGACACAGGUGGUCAGGUAGAGAAUACUCAGGCGCUUGA